GGGAGGAUGCCCGAGCGGCCAAAGGGAGCGGUCUGUAAAAUCGCCGGCGAUGCCUACGGAGGUUCGAAUCCUCCUCCUCCCA
rnacentral:tRNA from 1 species